GAUCAUGGCUCAGGACGAACGCUGGCGGCGUGCCUAUCACAUGCAAGUCGAACGGAGAAUUUUAUUUCGGUAGAAUUCUUAGUGGCGAACGGGUGAGUAACGCGUAGGCAACCUGCCCUUUAGACGGGGACAACAUUCCGAAAGGAGUGCUAAUACCGGAUGUGAUCAUCUUGCCGCAUGGCAGGAUGAAGAAAGAUGGCCUCUACAAGUAAGCUAUCGCUAAAGGAUGGGCCUGCGU
rnacentral:rRNA from 1 species